UAGGGAAUCUUCGGCAAUGGACGAAAGUCUGACCGAGCAACGCCGCGUGAGUGAAGAAGGUUUUCGGAUCGUAAAACUCUGUUGUUAGAGAAGAACAAGGACGUUAGUAACUGAACGUCCCCUGACGGUAUCUAACCAGAAAGCCACGGCUAACUACGUGCCAGCAGCCGCGGUAAUACGUAGGUGGCAAGCGUUGUCCGGAUCUAUUGUGCGUAAAGCGAGCGCAGGCGGUUUCUUAAGUCUGAUGUGAAAGCCCCCGGCUCAACCGGGGAGGGUCAUUGGAAACUGGGAGAGUGGGGUGCAGAGGAGGAGAGUGGAAUUCCAGGUGUAGCGGAGAAAUGCGUAGAUAUAUGGAGGAACACCAGUGGCGAAGGCGGCUCUCUGGACUGUAACUGACGUUGUGGCCCGAAAGCGUGGGGAGCAAAGAGG
rnacentral:rRNA from 1 species